UACGUAGGGUGCGAGCGUUAAUCGGAAUUACUGGGCGUAAAGUGUGCGCAGGCGGCCGAGCAUGUCGAGUGUGAAAGCCCCGGGCUUAACCUGGGAAUUGCAUUCGAUACUGGAUCGCUAGAGUUCGGCAGAGGGAAGUGGAAUUUCUGGUGUAGCGGUGAAAUGCGUAGAUAUCAGAAGGAACAUCAGUGGCGAAAGCGACUUCCUGGACCAGAACUGACGAUCAGGCACGAAAGCGUGGGGAGCAAACAGG
rnacentral:rRNA from 1 species